AGCGAACGCUGGCGGCAGGCCUAACACAUGCAAGUCGAACGGACUCUUCGGAGUUAGUGGCGGACGGGUGGGUAACACGUGGUAACUUGCCUUUUGGUUCGGAAUAACUCAGGGAAACUUGUGCUAAUACCGAAUGUGCCCUUCGUGGGAAAGAUUUCUCGCCAUUAGAGCUGCCCGCGUCUGAUUAGCUAGUUGGUGAGGUAAAGGCUCACCAAGGCGACGAUCAGUAGCUGGUCUGAGAGGAUGACCAGCCACACUGGGACUGAGACCCGGCUCAGACUCCUACGGGAGGCAGCAGUGGGGAAUCUUGCGCAAUGGGCGAAAGCCUGACGCAGCCAUGCCGCGUGAAUGAUGAAGGUCUUAGGAUUGUAAAAUUCUUUCAACGGGGACGAUAAUGACGGUACCCGGAGAAGAAGCCCCGGCUAACUUCGUG
rnacentral:rRNA from 1 species